AGAGUGAACGCUGGCGGCAGGCCUAACACAUGCAAGUCGAACGGCAGCGGGCAGUAGCAAUACUGUGCCGGCGAGUGGCGGACGGGUGAGGAAUACAUCGGAAUCUACCUUGUCGUGGGGGAUAACGUAGGGAAACUUACGCUAAUACCGCAUACGAACUAUGGUUGAAAGCGGCGGACCGCAAGGCGUCGCGCGAUUGGAUGAGCCGAUGUCCGAUUAGCUAGUUGGCGGGGUAAAGGCCACCAAGGCGACGAUCGGUAGCUGGUCUGAGAGGAUGAUCAGCCACACUGGAACUGAGACACGGUCCAGACUCCUACGGGAGGCAGCAGUGGGGAAUAGUUGGACAAGUGGGGGGCAACCCGUGAUCCAGCCAUGCCGCGUGUGUGAAGAAGGCCUUCGGUUGUAAGCUAGUUUUCGUGGGAAGAAAGACGACGUGGUUAAUCCGUUAGGUGUCGAGUAGACGGUAACCAAAGAAUAAGC
rnacentral:rRNA from 1 species